rnacentral:rRNA from 1 species
CCUACGGGAGGCAGCAGUGAGGAAUGUUGGUCAAUGGACGAGAGUCUGAACCAGCCAAGUAGCGUGAAGGAUGACUGCCCUAUGGGUUGUAAACUUCUUUUAUAUGGGAAUAAAACGUUCCACGUGUGGGAUUUUGUAUGUACCAUAUGAAUAAGGAUCGGCUAACUCCGUGCCAGCAGCCGCGGUAAUACGGAGGAUCCGAGCGUUAUCCGGAUUUAUUGGGUUUAAAGGGAGCGUAGGUGGAUUGUUAAGUCAGUUGUGAAAGUUUGCGGCUCAACCGUAAAAUUGCAGUUGAAACUGGCAGUCUUGAGUACAGUAGAGGUGGGCGGAAUUCGUGGUGUAGCGGUGAAAUGCUUAGAUAUCACGAAGAACUCCGAUUGCGAAGGCAGUUCACUGGACUGCAACUGACACUGAGGCUCGAAAGUGUGGGUAUCAAACAGGAUUAGAUACCCCAGUAGUC